rnacentral:rRNA from 1 species
GACGAACGCUGGCGGCGUGCUUAAUACAUGCAAGUCGAGCGAGGUUACUGUUUCAGAUCCCUUCGGGGUGAAGAAGCUUUAACCUAGCGGCGGACGGGUGAGUAACGCGUGGGUAACCUACCCCAAAGUCCGGGAUAACAGCGGGAAACCGCUGCUAAUACCGGAUGUCUUUACCUUGGGGCAUCUUGAGGUAAAGAAAGGUAACGCUUUGGGAUGGGCCCGCGUCCCAUUAGCUAGUUGGUGAGGUAACGGCUCACCAAGGCGACGAUGGGUAGCCGGCCUGCGAGGGUGGACGGCCACACUGGGACUGAGACACGGCCCAGACUCUUACGGGAGGCAGCAGUAGGGAAUAUUGCGCAAUGGACGGAAGUCUGACGCAGCGACGCCGCGUGAGCGAUGAAGGUCUUCGGAUCGUAAAGCUCUGUCCUUGGGGAAGAAGGUCUUCGGACUUGACGGUACCCAAGAAGAAAGCCCCGGCUAACUACGUGCCAGCAGCCGCGGUAAUACGUA